GCUGGUGUGGCUCAGUGGAUAGAGUGUCGGCCUGCAGACCCGAGGGUUCUGGGUUCCAUUCCCGUCAAAAGGG
rnacentral:tRNA from 1 species